rnacentral:rRNA from 1 species
AAUGAACGCUGGCGGCAGGCCUAACACAUGCAAGUCGAACGGCUCCUUCGGGAUUAGUGGCGGACGGGUGAGUAACGCGUGGGAACAUACCCAAAGGUACGGAAUAGCCUCGGGAAACUGGGAGCAAUACCGUAUGUGCUCGAAAGAGGAAAGAUUUUUCGCCUUUGGAUUGGCCCGCGUUGGAUUAGGUAGUUGGUGGGGUAAAGACCUGCCAAGCCGACGAUCCAUAGAUGGUUGGAGAGGAUGAUCAGCCACCCUGGGACUGAGACACGGUCCAGACUCCUUAGGGAGGCAGUAGUGGGGAAUCUGAGACAAUGGGGGAACGCUUGAUCUAGCCAUGCCGCGGGAUCGGUGAAGGCCUUAGGGUUGUAAAGAUCUUUCAGGUGGGAAGAUAAUGACUGUACCACCAGAAGAAGCCCCGGCUAACUCCGUGCCAGCCGCCGCGGUAA